rnacentral:pre_miRNA from 1 species
CUACUACUCCCUCGGUCCGAAAAUACUUGUCAUCAAAAUGGAUAAAAAGAGAUGUAUCUAGAACUAAAAUACAUCUAGAUACAUCUCCUUUUAUUCAUUUUGAUGACAAGUAUUUUGGGAUGGAGGGAGUAUAAG